UACAGAGGCCUCGAGCGUUAGGCGGAAUCACUGGGCUUAAAGCGUGUGUAGGCGGACUUCUAAGUACCUUGUGAAAUCCCACGGCUUACCCGUGGAACUGCUCGGUAUACUGGUUGUCUUGAGCCAUCUAGGGGCUACCGGAACAAAUGGUGGAGCGGUGAAAUGCGUAGAUAUCAUUUGGAACGCCAAUGGUGAAAACAGGUAGCUGGGGAUGUGCUGACGCUGAGACACGAAAGCCAGGGGAGCAAACGGG
rnacentral:rRNA from 1 species